rnacentral:rRNA from 1 species
UUGAACGCUGGCGGCGUGCUUAACACAUGCAAGUCGAUCGGUAACGCGGGGGCAACCCUGGCGACGAGAGGCGGACGGGUGAGGAACGCUUGGGAAUCUGCCUAUCAGCGGGGGACAACCCGGGGAAACCCGGGCUAAUACCGCAUACGCUCUACGGAGGAAAGCCGGGGACCGCAAGGCCUGGCACUGAUAGAUGAGCCCAAGUCGGAUUAGCUAGUUGGCGGGGUAACGGCCCACCAAGGCGACGAUCCGUAGCUGGUCUGAGAGGACGAUCAGCCACACUGGGACUGAGACACGGCCCAGACUCCUACGGGAGGCAGCAGUGGGGAAUAUUGGACAAUGGGGGAAACCCUGAUCCAGCGACGCCGCGUGGGUGAAGAAGGCCUGCGGGUUGUAAAGCCCUUUCGGUAGGGACGAAAGCUCUCGACCUAACACGUCGGGAGGUUGACUUAACCUACAAAAGAAGCACCGGCUAACUCUGU